UACAGAGGAGCCAAGCGUUGUCCGGAUUGACUGGGCGUAAAGCGCACGCAGGCGGUUGCGCGCGUGGGGUGGGAAAUCUGGCCGCUUAACGGCCAGGCGCCAUCCCAUACGGCGCGACUGGAGGGCUGCAGAGGUCGAUGGAAUUGCCGGUGUAGUGGUGAAAUGCGUAGAGAUCGGCAGGAACACCCAGGGGGAAACCAGUCGACUGGGCAGCACCUGACGCUGAGGUGCGAGAGCGUGGGGAGCGAACCGG
rnacentral:rRNA from 1 species